rnacentral:rRNA from 1 species
GAUGAACGCUAGCUACAGGCUUAACACAUGCAAGUCGAGGGACCGGCGCACGGGUGAGUAACACGUAUCCAACCUGCCCUUUACUCGGGGAUAGCCUUUCGAAUGAAAGAUUAAUACCCGAUAUAAAGGAUGGGGAUGCGUUCCUUUAGGUUGUUUGUGAGGUAGCGGCUCACCAAGCCUUCGAUGGAUAGGGGUUCUGAGAGGAAGGUCCACGAGAUUGGAACCUAGACACGGGCCAAACUCGUACGGGAGGCGGCAGUGAGGAAUAUUGGUCAAUGGGCGGUAUCCGGAACCAGCCAAGUAUCGUGAAGGAUGAAGGCGUAUGGGUCGUUAACUUCUGUUAUAUAAGAAUAUGUAUUAUAUGAAUAAGGAUCGGCUAACUCCGUGCCAGCAGCCGCGGUAAUAC